rnacentral:rRNA from 1 species
CCAGCUCCAAUAGCGUAUAUUAAAGUUGUUGCAGUUAAAAAGCUCGUAGUUGGAUUUUGGGAUAAGCUAGUUGGUCCGGCGCAAGCUGAGAACUGAUGGGCAUAUCCUUCCUCUCGAAAGCGGCGUGUGCGCUUAAUUGAGUGUGCGUCGUGUUCGGGACUUUUACUGUGAAAAAAUUAGAGUGUUCAAAGCAGGCUAUCGCUUGAAUAUUUCAGCAUGGAAUAAUGGAAUAGGACGUUGGUUCUAUUUUGUUGGUUUCUAGGACCGAAGUAAUGAUUAAUAGGGAUAGUUGGGGGCAUUAGUAUUUAAUUGUCAGAGGUGAAAUUCUUGGAUUUAUGAAAGACUAACUUCUGCGAAAGCAUUUGCCAAGGAUGUUUUCA